UGAGGCAGGAGAAUUGCUUGAACCCAGGAGGCGGAGGUUGCAGUGAGCCGAGAUCGCGCCACUGCACUCCAGCCUGGGUGACAGAGAGAGACUCUGUCUC
rnacentral:miRNA from 1 species